rnacentral:rRNA from 1 species
UACGUAGGGGGCAAGCGUUAUUCGGAAUUAUUGGGCGUAAAGGGCGCGUAGGCGGCUAGAUGUGUCAAAGGUGAAAUCCCUCGGCUCAACUGAGGAACUGCCUUUGAAACUGUCUGGCUUGAGGCCGGGAGAGGGUAGCGGAAUUCCCAGUGUAGCGGUGAAAUGCGUAGAUAUUGGGAGGAACACCAGUGGCGAAGGCGGCUCCCUGGACCGGUUCUGACGCUGAGGCGCGAAAGCGUGGGUAGCAAACAGG